UACGUAGGGGCUAGCGUUAUCCGGAAUUACUGGGCGUAAAGGGUGCGUAGGCGGUCUUUCAAGCCAGAAGUGAAAGGCUACGGCUCAACCGUAGUAAGCUUUUGGAACUGUAAGACUUGAGUGCAGGAGAGGAGAGUGGAAUUCCUAGUGUAGCGGUGAAAUGCGUAGAUAUCAGGAGGAACUCCGGUGGCGAAGGCGACUUCCUGGCACAAGACUGACGCUCAUGUGCGAAAGCUAGGGUAGCGAACGGGAUUAGAUACCCUGGUAGUCCCU
rnacentral:rRNA from 1 species